GAUGAACGCUAGCGGCAGGCUUAAUACAUGCAAGUCGAACGGUAACAGGUCUUCGGACGCUGACGAGUGGCGCACGGGUGAGGAACACGUACACAAUCUACCUUAUACUGGAGAAUAGCCCCCGGGAAACUGGGAUUAAUACUCCAUAGUCUUUAAUGAUCACAUGAGAAAUAAAGUAAAGCUUCGGCGGUAUAAGAUGAGUGUGCGUCCCAUUAGAUUGUUGGUGAGGUAACGGCUCACCAAGUCGACGAUGGGUAGCUGGCGUGAGAGCGCGACCAGCCACACUGGCACUGAGACACGGGCCAGACUCCUACGGGAGGCAGCAGUAGGGAAUAUUGGUCAAUGGACGAAAGUCUGAACCAGCCAUGCCGCGUGGAGGAUGACUGCCCUCUGGGUUGUAAACUCCUUUUAUAUGGGAAGAAACCUCUGGAUUCACUCCAGAGCUGACGGUAUCAUAUGAAUAAGCACCGGCUAACUCCGUGCCAG
rnacentral:rRNA from 1 species